rnacentral:rRNA from 1 species
UACGGAGGGUGCAAGCGUUAUCCGGAUUCACUGGGUUUAAAGGGUGCGUAGGCGGGCAGGUAAGUCCGUGGUGAAAUCUCUGAGCUUAACUCAGAAACUGCCUUUGAUACUCUCUGUCUUGAAUAUGGUGGAGGUAAGCGGAAUAUGUCAUGUAGCGGUGAAAUGCUUAGAGAUGACAUAGAACACCUAUUGCGAAGGCAGCUUACUACGCCUAUAUUGACGCUGAGGCACGAAAGCGUGGGGAUCAAACAGG